GGUGAACGCUGGCGGUAGGCCUAACACAUGCAAGUCGAGCGGCAGCACAGUAAGAGCUUGCUCUUACGGGUGGCGAGUGGCGGACGGGUGAGGAAUACAUCGGAAUCUACUUUUUCGUGGGGGAUAACGUAGGGAAACUUACGCUAAUACCGCAUACGACCUACGGGUGAAAGCAGGGGAUCUUCGGACCUUGCGCGAUUGAAUGAGCCGAUGUCGGAUUAGCUAGUUGGCGGGGUAAAGGCCCACCAAGGCGACGAUCCGUAGCUGGUCUGAGAGGAUGAUCAGCCACACUGGAACUGAGACACGGUCCAGACUCCUACGGGAGGCAGCAGUGGGGAAUAUUGGACAAUGGGCGCAAGCCUGAUCCAGCCAUACCGCGUGGGUGAAGAAGGCCUUCGGGUUGUAAAGCCCUUUUGUUGGGAAAGAAAAGCAGCAGGUUAAUACCCCGCUGUUCUGACGGUACCCAAAGAAUAAGCACCGGCUAACUUCGU
rnacentral:rRNA from 1 species